GGAUGACAGUAAAUAUAUAUAUAGAUAUAUUGAAAUACAAGUAGAGAAUAAUAAUAUACAAUAGAUAAAUUACCACAAAACAUGCAACAAUCAUGAAUAGAUAUUUCUUGAAGUGAUAGUGUUUUGUUCAACAACCAAAUCGUAUUUAGAUCUACCUCAGGCAUAGAUUACCUUAGCUGUAUUUGGCAAAACUUUUUGGAAUUUUGGUCCUCAAUGCUCUUCAACUUCGUACUUUAUUUGGCCUUUUUAACUUUUUUGAUUCGAGCGUCACUGAUGAGUCUUUUGUAGACGAAACGCGCGUUUGGCGUAUACUAAAUUUGGUCCUGGUAUCUUUGAUGAGUUUAUCUAGAUUGAUUUCCAAUUAAAAUUCUGUUUGUGUAAAUAGUUAAAAAGUGUAAGACAUUUUUUCAAAUUACUGAUUUCUAGACUUGGCAAGUACAAUAAGUGUUCAUGGUAACUAUUCUAAAAAAAUA
rnacentral:lncRNA from 1 species